AGCAGUCGCCACGGUAAUACGAAGGGUGCAAGCGUUAAUCGGAAUUAUUGGGCGUAAAGGGCUCGCAGGCGGUUUCUUAAGUCUGAUGUGAAAGCCCCCGGCUCAACCGGGGAGGGUCAUUGGAAACUGGGAAACUUGAGUGCAGAAGAGGAGAGUGGAAUUCCACGUGUAGCGGUGAAAUGCGUAGAGAUGUGGAGGAACACCAGUGGCGAAGGCGACUCUCUGGUCUGUAACUGACGCUGAGGAGCGAAAGCGUGGGGAGCGAACAGGAUUAGAUACCCGCGUAGUCCCUGUCUCUUAUAC
rnacentral:rRNA from 1 species